rnacentral:rRNA from 1 species
UACAGAGGUGCCGAGCGUUAGGCGGAAUCACUGGGCUUAAAGCGCGUGUAGGCGGAUUCCUAAGUACCUUGUGAAAUCCCAUGGCUCAACCAUGGAACUGCUUGGUAUACUGGGUGUCUUGAGCCAGCUAGGGGCUACCGGAACAAAUGGUGGAGCGGUGAAAUGCGUAGAUAUCAUUUGGAACGCCAAUGGUGAAAACAGGUAGCUGGGGCUGUGCUGACGCUGAGACACGAAAGUCAGGGGAGCGAACGGG